rnacentral:lncRNA from 1 species
GGGAAGUGGGGCAUGGGUAAGAUAAGGGAACUUCUUUGUCCUCCUCCAAGAGAGAGAUUUCUUAGCCCAACAUAGGGCCCUCGUGUUCUGGACUUCUACUUCUUCUUCACUUUUCUUGCUCAUUGGAUUCCAGCUCACAGCAUUGGCAGGGCUACAUUAUGACUUUGGUGCUUUAUCUGGUAAGUGGUUCACUGACUUAGCUGAGGACUUUUGUCUCCAAGGGCCCUUCCUCCACACUGACGAUCGUAUUUUGUGACUGCAGCGGUAUAAAGAUGAAUAUAAUCCAGGCUGGAUUCAUUUUUUUAAAAAUUUGUUUUAGGAUUUUUUUUUUUUUUUUUUUGUAUUUGAGAGAGAUGGAGAGAGACAGACACAGAGCAUGCGUAAGGAGUAGGGGGCAGAUGGAGAGGGAGAAGCAGACUCUGCUGAGCAGGAAGCUGGACAUGGGGCUCGAUCCUAGGACCCCACAAUCAUGACCUGACCCAAAGGCUGCCACUUAACCAACCGAGCCACCCAGGCACCCCGGCUGGAUUCAUUUUUAUGUAUUCAUUAUCAUUAUAUCCUUUUUCUCUUCUGAUUUUAAAAGAAACCCAGCUGAAAACAUUUUCAUACGUGAAUAAAAGCAUCUUGGACCCUGGGCACCUUGUGUCCUGUGAAGAAUGGAGAAGCUGGCCUGGGGGUUGGCACAAGCACAUGACUGGCCUUCAUCACUCUAGACAUAGACAAGAACUGUCCAGAAUUCCUGAGGAUGGAGAGGAGAACCAUGAGACCAGAGAAUCAGAUGAUGUGACAUCAAAUUCAUGAUGCAAUUCAAAACACAGCUGUGGGGCAGGAAUCUGGAACCAACCGAAAUGGGGACUCAGAGAAAAAGAAAGAGGAAUCUACCCACUUUUCAGUCAACUUACCCAAUGGGAGAAGACACACCUUCCCAUGUGGAUCUUGUAGAAGCUUCUGGAGGGGUCAGUCCCAGGAGGUGGGAGAGUUGACACCAUGAUCCAGGGCUCCUUUGAGAUAUUUUUUUGUUUGCUUGUUUGUUUUUGCUUCUCUCAGAUUCCUGAAAAGUCUUAGUUUCCCAUCUUUGUCAGUUGGAUACCUGGUACCUUUGGUCUUUAAGGACCCAGAUGUCCUCUCCUUUUUACAGAUGGAGAGAUGAAGGCUAGUUUAGACAACGCAUACAGGACUGGCAAAACCAUAUUAGACUUUUGGUAUGGUUAAUUGUUCCCAUGAAAGUCUUACAUUUUGCAUUGUUUUCAAGUCACUGCCAAGACUGAGGAAAAUGACAAGGAUGGUUUUGUAAGUGUAAUGAAAAUAUGCGUGGAGAACAUCACAGACAGAUUGUCCUGUGUAGUGUUUAGGUAGGGCCCAAGGUCCAAUUUGGGGAGCUUCCAUGAGGACGUGGGGAAAAACAUGUCAACCCUGACAGAAGCAAUUGCUGACUGAGCAAAAAUGUUCUCCUCUCUACUCCCUAAAGCUUCCUAACUCUCAUCGGUCUGCUUUUAACCAGAGCCUUGGGGCACCCCACCUGAAGACUCACAUUUUCUCUGGUCCCCGGGGAAGACACCAGUUUGCUCAGUGACAGUGUGCCAAACAGGGGAAAAAAAAAAAGAAAAAAAAAAGAAAGAAGAAGAAGAGCUUCAGCAACUGCGAACCAGGAAAUUUUUUGUUUGUUUGUUUGUUUUAAAACAAGAUUUGCCAAUCUCGCCAAGAAAUUUUGUCUAAGUUACAGCCUGGCAGCCUUUCUAAUCGCUCAUCGUUCUUUUUCUGAAUCCUGCAUUUUCAUGGAGGGGAGAUAAUCUUUGGCAUUAUCCUCAUUGGCUCGGCUUAGCUCUCAGUCCCUUGGGGUCCUGUUGCCUCUAGAAACUUUCAACUUCUAAAUCCAGUGCUGGCUCACCCAGGAAAGGAACAGGCAAAUUGAACAAUAAAAUUCAAGCCGUAGCUUCCGUUGUGACUCAAGAGCAGAAAAUGUUUUUAAUGUCCAAGAGCACAUAAGUGGCAUUAAUCAUCAAGAAUUUAUUAUUUCUCAUUGGGGGCCCCAAAGAAACACCAUUUUGCCCAACUCCAUUAUUAUCUGGGAUUUGAAAAGCUUUUCAAAACUAGUUGCCUGAUUGGAUAUUUACCUAAGGUUGAGCGUUUCAGAAGUUCUUUCAUAGAAAUUAUAUAUGCCCCAAAAGAGAAAAUAGUGUUUUUUUCUUCCUUUCUUUUCUUUUUCAUUUCUCCCUUGUGUUUCUCUUCCUUUCUUUAGUGACCCUUGCUGUGUCAGCCUUUCUAUGCAUGAUCAGUUUGCUGUGAUCUAUGGAGAACUCCCACCUCAGGAAUUUGAAGCCUGUGGUAAGUCUUUUUGUUUUUUGAGUCUAGGCUAUAGAUUACUUUUGUUUUGAGAAAACCUUAGGGGCUUGUAAUAUAGUCACAAUUUUUUAUUCUUUGAACUGCAUAAAUAAAUUAGACCACUUUGUGGUGGAAAGAUUUUUGCAAGCAUAAGCUCAGGAUACUUUUCUAUUGUAUCUCUGAAAUAUUAAGUAUUUUUGGGUGUUCACACAAUAAGUUGAUAGGAUCGAUCCUUCCUUCCUUCCUUCCUUCCUUCCUUCCUUCCUUCCUUCCUUCCUUCUUCCUCUUCCUUUUCUUCUUUCUUUCUUUCUUUCUUUCUUUCUUUCUUUCUUUCUUUCUUUCUUUCUUUCUUUCUUUCUUUCCUUUUUCUUCUGACCUUCCUAGUGCAGUAAAUAAACAUUGAAAGAAUGUUAUAAAUUCAUCUGUUGGUAAUCCUUAAACUGCAUUAGAAUAAUUGAUUUGGGGAACCUAGAUAAAUAUUUAUCAUAACAAACCCACGUUUCUCAUUUCAUGUGGAAGGGAGCUGCAUUUUCCUUCAUGCACAGGGAUCAUAUGAAAAGCUUAUGUUAGAAGAUAGAAGCUUCAAAUCCAUUCUCUGGUCUUGGGGGACAUAACUUCUUGAGAUAGCUAGACUACA